rnacentral:lncRNA from 1 species
ACUGAGAGAGUGCGCUUCACACAAUAAACAAAAAAAAAUGGCUAGGCAAUUUGCUAUUGUUGCGAUCUGCAUCGUCCUCAUCGCCGGCGUCGGAGGUCAAGCUCCGUCGGCACCACCAACCACCACACCAGCACCACCCACCACAACAACUCCCCCGCCAGCAGCCACUCCUCCUCCUGUCUCAGCUCCUCCACCAGUCACAACUUCUCCUCCUCCAGCCACCACCGCUCCUCCUCCUGCUACUCCUCCUCCAGUUGCUUCUCCUCCUCCGGCCACUCCUCCUCCAGUGGCAACUCCUCCUCCAGCAACUCCCCCUCCCGUCGCAUCUCCUCCUCCAGCAACUCCUCCACCCGUCGCAUCUCCUCCUCCAGCAACGCCUCCUCCAGCUCCUCUUGCAUCUCCUCCCGCUCAGGUUCCAGCUCUUGCUCCUACGACGCCAGACGCUCCCUCUACAUCUCCGUCGUCUAGCCCGCCUCUCCCGGCCACUGAUGGCCCUGGACCGAGCGCCGAAGGGCCAGGACCUUCCACAGAUUCGAAUGACCAGGUCCGUAAUUUCUUCUCAUUUGACUUGGAUCUUGUACAAUGUGUUUCAGAUCUGAGAUGGUUUUGACUUUGAAAAAUGAGGUGAUCACUGUCCAUGAUUAGAUCUAAAACUAGUCUUGUCUCUCGAAAAUUAUGAUUAGCGCAAUUUAGCAGAAGAAUCCUAGUAUGUUAUAAAGUGAGCAGUUGCAAGCGCAAUUUAGGAAGAUAUGUUAAUCUGCGCCCGUAUCGUAUUUGCCGAUUUUCGGACAGUGCUACUGCAUCUGUCUCGAGAUCUUCGAACUCGAGCCGUGGGCGCGUGGGGUGCCGGAGUCACGUUAGCUUUGUCAGUAUGAACGUGAACAAUAAAUAACUUCCACGUGUUGAUCUUAAAAGCAGAUCUUGCUUUUGACAAAAAAGUAGAUCUAGAUUUACUUUAGUCUUUAGUCAAUAAAAUAAGUCCGAAAGCAUGCAUGAAUGACGGAGUUCUUCGAAGUAAGCAGUAUCACUUUAUGCUAGGACCACUAUAUUUUAGAAACUUUUCAAACGAUCCCGGAUUAAUAAAUGCUAUUAAAACUUCUAUUUUAAAUUAAUUAUGUUGGAAUUAUAACAUCAGAUUACAAAGAUGCUUCUGUAACCAAUAAAAAUGAAAUGCUGAUCCAAUCUCUUAUGUAUUGUUUUGCAGAAUGGAGCAAGCAAGACAGUUUCAAGCUUGGUACUUGGAUCUGUUCUCGUUUGGUUUAUGAUCUAAGCGCGGGAGCCUUUCGCUCGGUGUUCCUUGCAUUUGUUUUCAUGUUGAUGUUUGUUUGUUCCAUUGUUAUUACUUUCGGAACCGUAUUCUUUUGGAUUAUUAUCUUUUGGAGAGGAUAUUAUUGAGACUUGAGAUGGAGAUAUCAGGAUAUAUUUCGUUUGGAGAUAUUUUGUGGCUUCUUCCCUUCUCAUUCUAUUUGAUUAUUAGUGUACUAAAUUGCUUUCUUCCAUGUCUACUUUUUUUUUCUUCCAUGUCACCAUUCCUUAUAUAUUUGCCUCUGGGAUUCAAACGCAAACACAUGCUAAACUAGUGGCCAAUCAAAAACCUGGAAAAGGAAGAAAACAUAAACAAUAAAAAAACUGAAAGAUUGAAAAGGGUGGAUUUUCUUGUCAAUCUCUAAACAAAGUAUAGUUUGCUGUUUUGCUGGUAUAAAUGCUUUUGAAUUCAAAAGCUACACGUUUUUGUUUAUGGAACGUGUUAAGAAGUUUGCAUUCAUCGAGUGAACCAAGCCUAAUGUCAAACGUCUUACAGGGAACUUGGUUCACAAAUGAUUGAUAUCGCGAUUGCUACAAAGAAAGCAAACGAGAAAAAAAUAAGAGAGGGAAAUAGUAAAAUGACAAGGCAAAGAUGUAUGAGUUUUGGAAUCUUAAUAUGAAACUCCCUAAUUUGGUAGGACUCACUUCAGUAAUUCACUAUGAAUCAACUCCGAAGAACAUACCAAGCGACUCAACACUAACAUCGUGAGUUUGGCUGGUAAGUUAGUUGAAAACAUAAAUAUGUAACUGUAGAAGCUUUGGCUGGUGAAGUCCGACCUGCUUUGGAUGCUCCAGCGACUGCGAUGCCACUUGUUUUGGAUGCUUAACAGUCUAGCCCUGCUACCGUUCAACGAAAGAUGCGCCUCUCAAUUUGGAUGCCCAACAAUUUACCCCUGCCCUGUCUCAGAUGCUGUCUGUUUAGAUAUAUCUGACCCUACAUCUGUUACUGAGAUCGCUAUUGUAGCUGAUCUUCGUAGUGAAAAAGGUCUUGUGAUCGCAAUUUCUGUUGACCCAAUGACGAAUGAAGCUCUGCCAAGUUACCUACUGAAGGGAAUAAAGAGUUUCGUAAAGAUAGCGUCCCAGCAAGCUCAAUGGUGAAAAAUCCAUUGUGAGAAGAGGCACCGGUAGCUUAGGGGUCUGAUACCUGGUGAUCAAGGGCUAAAGGCAUCACAAAGAGACUUCAGAAAAAGGUAAACUUUUCAUUGUUAUGUCAGGGGAAACUUGUGUUAAAUACCUAAUUCAGCAGUUGAGAAGAAAAGAAAGAGCUAGGAAUGUUUCGUCCUAAGGCAAUUUGAUAAGUUUCUUGGGCUUCCAACUUAAAACCAAUUGACAAUUAUUAGAUUGACCAUAACCAUUUAUAUAUUAAUUAAUGUCCCUUAGAAUUUUCGAUGUGGAAUAUAUAUCUCUAAUACCCUCCUCGAGAUGAUGGCUGUUAUCGGCCAGAAAUCUCGGAACUUUACGACAUUUAUACUCGGUCGAGCGAGUUUAACACAAUACUCCGUUGGAAGGGUUAAUUACGACCUUUAUACCCGGUCGGAAGGGUUCAUUUUAAUUUUAAUUAGGAAUUUAGGGUAUUUAGUAUCUGGUAUCAGAGCAGGCCCAAUACCCUGACCCAUUACUCCGGCCCGAAUAGUGGCCCGAUCAUCCCAUUAGCUGAUGGCACAUAGAAGGUUCAGUUCCGCCGAAAUCGCUAGAAAAUAAAGCAUGAUUUCGGAGAGGGUAUGAUGGAUUCUGCGAGAUUAAUGGUUAUACGCACCAUUAUCUCGAGAGAGGGUAUUGGAGAAAAGAUCCCACAUUGGAAAUAUAAAAAAGACUUGAGUAAUAUAUAAGAGACUUGGGUCAAUCCACUAAUUGCCAAUUGGUUUUAAAUUGGAAGCCCAGGAAACUUAUCAUAAUUCUACUCAGAUGCAUCCUCUAGAUCCAUCCUCUCAAAGUAUAAUUCACAACAGUGUUAAUAGAAUUCGAAACACACAAUUCAGAGAUAUUGAGGUCUCAACAAUGGAGGGUCAUGCCUUUCUCUUAGGAUCAUGAGUUUGGCUACAAAAAACAGUGUUUAACCAACAUUUUUGGCAGAUAGAGAAUUAGAAUCAAUCCAUUCAAAUAUCAUCUACUCGUCAAUCUCAUCUGAAAUAGAGAAAAAAGAAGGAUGAAUAACAAGAAAAUCAAUCAGUAAGGGUAGGGGUGGGCACUUUACCCGAUAUCCGAAGUGGCACCCGAACCCGAUCCGAAAAACCCGAACCGAAAUCCGAACCGAAGUAGCAAAAUACCCGAACGGGUAUUGAAUAAGGAGAGAUUGGAUACCCGAAUCCGAACGGGUAAUACCCGAACCCGAAUGGAUAUCCGAAGAUAACCGAACAUAUGUAUAAUUAACCUUAUGGUUGAGCUGCCAUGAACUUGAAUAUUUAAGAUAUGGCUCAUAGGGUAUUGUUAAGGUCUUAAGUAAAAUAUGUAUUUUUUAACACUGUCUUAUUGAAAUUGAUUUGGAACAUAUUACAUGAAGAAUAUGAAAAAUAAUGAGAAAUCAAUAGUCUUUCCACACCGAAAAUAGAAAAGAUAAACAUGAUUAGCAAAACUAAACUAGUAUUUCUUUGAAAGUAAGAUGAAUUGGGUGUUUCCGUUUCAGCAAUUACAGACGGACUUCUAAUACCUUAAACGAAAUUACGACAAUAAUUUUCAUAGUUUAGAUACAUCUUCUUCUUCAGUUGCCUUGAUUAAUUUUGUCCCGAGUUAGCUUCAGUUAAGCUACCGUUGAACAAGCUUGAACUACAAAAUACAAAUCAGGUAGAUAGUUGGGAUUGACGACUCACGUCCCAAAACCAAAAUCAACACGACAAAAACACUAACCACACAAAAGAAACAAUAGAACCAUAAUCAGAUCCAAAACAACAAGAUCUCUUUCUGGAAAAAGGUUCUAUCCAGAGAAACUAAUAUCUCUCGCCUUGGAAAGCACCGCAAAAAAUGUAAAAAUAAUAGAAACAUAGUAAAAUCUGUAUCUUAUUGUUCCAUGAAAAUCAUCCGAUAAUGCAAUACGCUAAAUACUAAUUUGGUAUUGAAAUAAUACAAAAUUCAGUAUCAUAGUUGAAAUGAAUGAUUUCGUAUGCUUGUGUGUCUUAAGUUGCCCUUAUACAUAUUUUGCUUUAGUGUGUUACAAAAAGAAAACAUUAUUUUUGCUCUGAAUGGCACCACAGUUACCCGCACUUACGAUUUAUUCGAGUGAAAUUGCUGUCAAGUUUUGUCAUCCUCUUUACCAUUUGUAUAAUAUAAAUCCUUUAAUAUACUUAAAAAUAAAUUCAAAGUUUAGGCUAGACAAUCAAAUAUUAUAUAAUUAAUUUUAAAUUUAAAUUUUAAAUUUGUUUAUUUGUGAAGUGACAGUAACAUUGUGCUGUCGAGCACAUGAUAAUAGCACCAGCAAAACAAGAAUCCAAGACUCAUCAAAUAAUUGAAAUUAGUAUUAUUCGAUCUGUCCAAAAGCAUCCAUCGAAACUAACAGGGAACCCAACCUGGCCCCAGUUUCGACAUGCUAUCACCAAAGUACUCCAUCACUCUCCCCCUUUACUCAUUUCAUAAGGAAAGCCUAUUUUUACUUUUGUUUAACACAUUUAUACUUAAUCCUUUUGUUUAUAUCUUGAUGCAAAUAUCACCCAUAAAUUCAGGCUAAGUAACAAAAACUGUAAAUAGUUGGAUAUUUUUACCAUUUCAGGUUUAUAGGUUUAUGAAAUUAACUAAAAGACAACCUCAUCGAUCAAUUUACGUAGAUAGUGCAUUUUGAUCUUUACUAUUGAUAUAGGAAGUGUCCGAAAUAGAGUUAAUUUAACAUGGUGUGGGUUGAAAAAACCUAAAAUGAUUGUUGGUAUAGGAAAUAUUAUCUUAUGGCAAUUCCGAAAACGAUAUCUUUUAUUGGAAAUCUCAUGAACAAAUUAAUAAGAUCUGUUCAAUCAGUUCGUAGUAACACACAAUUGUAUUUUGCUAUUGACAAAUUCCUAAAAUACCUAAAAAUAUCCUACACAACAGCAGUUGCGUCUCUCACAAAGAUAACUCACCAAGAUCCCAAAACUUGUUCUUCUUGCGAAUUCUAUGAUUCUCUCUAUAUACACACUCCACUGAAGAAGGAGAGUAUGGUUGGAUUUAAUUAAAAUUUCUAAUUAAUUGAACGAAAUUGUUUUAUCUAUACUGUGUCGUUACAGCUUUGUUAAAGUUUCUAGCCUUUAAGCUUUCUUCAAGUUUUUGCAGUCUAUCAUCAUCCUGAUUCACUUCAAAAGCAAUUCCUUUCACACAUUUUGGUAUUUUCUCAGUAUUUUCCAUUUUUGCAGCUUUGAGUAGUCCAACAAAUUUGUCGAAUUUCAUAUCAUCAGAGUUCAUUGUCACUUUCAUGACUAUUUUUAUAAACAAAAAAUUUGGAAGGAAAACAUCUGUUGAGCUUCUUGACCAGUUCCUUUUCUUUGUACUUCUUCCCAGGUCCCAAGCAUUGAUGCUUCGUUCACAAUGGUGUAUAUCUUAGCAGGUAGGCUGCCAAGUGUUACAUCGUCUCCCAUUCACGAUAAACUUUAAUCUCCUUGUACAAAAACUCUAUCUUUUUGAACUUACAUGGGUUUCAUCAUCCUAUAAAGAAGUACAAAUAUUUAGACUCAAAACCUUCUAGUCACCAAAAUAAAAAUUUGUCUGAGAUAGAUACUAAUUCCAAAAUUUGUAAAAUUGACAUUUUUGUCAUUUUAAAACAUUCGUUUUUGUUGUAGUCUUGUAGAUGAUAAAACUUAACUUCUGACCGUGAUCUGCAUGAAGGAUCGUCUACCAACUCUGGUGGUACCAAACAACAGUAGCACACGGUUUUUGGAUAUCAUUUACCAAAUUCGCCACCUAUUUCUGUCCCACUGUUGACAUUUUCUAAAGUUCAUUUGGUGGUUUCCAUAAUUAUGUAUUCGGUGAGAUCCAGAAUGUUUUUGUUUAUCACUUACUUAAAGCACCUUAGCUAAGAGUAACUUCUAAGCUUUAUGUCAAUAAAUACAACUCAUUCACAUCCCAUCAUAAUUUGUUGGUACAGACUCGCCAACGUGUCAACUGACUACUAGCACCGCCAACUCUCACAUGGCAUCAUGGGUUGUAUUAUACACUAAACACAGCUUCAAUACGACGCUAUGUAUCUGCGUUUCGAUGUGAUUCCACUUCUCCUAUAUAAAUAAUUCCUUCACUUUCCUCCUUUUACAUUUUCUUUACACUGAACCAUCACUUAGAGAGUGCGCUUCACACAAGAAACAAAACAAAAUGGCUAGGCGAUUUGCCAUUGUUGCGAUCUGCAUCGUCCUCAUCGCCGGCGUCGGAGGUCAAGCUCCGUCGUCACCACCAACCACCACACCAGCACCACCCACCACAACAACCCCCCCGCCAGCAGCCACUCCUCCUCCUGUCUCAGCUCCUCCACCAGUCACAACUUCUCCUCCUCCAGCCACCACCGCUCCUCCUCCUGCUACUCCUCCUCCAGUUGCUUCUCCUCCUCCGGCCACUCCUCCUCCAGUGGCAACUCCUCCUCCAGCAACUCCCCCUCCCGUCGCAUCUCCUCCUCCAGCAACUCCUCCACCCGUCGCAUCUCCUCCUCCAGCAACGCCUCCUCCAGCUCCUCUUGCAUCUCCUCCCGCUCAGGUUCCAGCUCUUGCUCCUACGACGCCAGACGCUCCCUCUACAUCUCCGUCGUCUAGCCCGCCUCUCCCGGCCACUGAUGGCCCUGGACCGAGCGCCGAAGGGCCAGGACCUUCCACAGAUUCGAAUGACCAGGUCCGUAAUUUCUUCUCAUUUGACUUGGAUCUUGUACAAUGUGUUUCAGAUCUGAGAUGGUUUUGACUUUGAAAAAUGAGGUGAUCACUGUCCAUGAUUAGAUCUAAAACUAGUCUUGUCUCUCGAAAAUUAUGAUUAGCGCAAUUUAGCAGAAGAAUCCUAGUAUGUUAUAAAGUGAGCAGUUGCAAGCGCAAUUUAGGAAGAUAUGUUAAUCUGCGCCCGUAUCGUAUUUGCCGAUUUUCGGACAGUGCUACUGCAUCUGUCUCGAGAUCUUCGAACUCGAGCCGUGGGCGCGUGGGGUGCCGGAGUCACGUUAGCUUUGUCAGUAUGAACGUGAACAAUAAAUAACUUCCACGUGUUGAUCUUAAAAGCAGAUCUUGCUUUUGACAAAAAAGUAGAUCUAGAUUUACUUUAGUCUUUAGUCAAUAAAAUAAGUCCGAAAGCAUGCAUGAAUGACGGAGUUCUUCGAAGUAAGCAGUAUCACUUUAUGCUAGGACCACUAUAUUUUAGAAACUUUUCAAACGAUCCCGGAUUAAUAAAUGCUAUUAAAACUUCUAUUUUAAAUUAAUUAUGUUGGAAUUAUAACAUCAGAUUACAAAGAUGCUUCUGUAACCAAUAAAAAUGAAAUGCUGAUCCAAUCUCUUAUGUAUUGUUUUGCAGAAUGGAGCAAGCAAGACAGUUUCAAGCUUGG